rnacentral:rRNA from 1 species
UACGAAGGGGACUAGCGUUGUUCGGAAUUACUGGGCGUAAAGCGCACGUAGGCGGAUUUGUAAGUCAGGGGUGAAAUCCCGGGGCUCAACCUCGGAACUGCCUUUGAUACUGCAAAUCUCGAGUCCGAUAGAGGUGGGUGGAAAUUCCUAGUGUAGAGGUGAAAAUUCGUAGAUAUUAGGAAGAACACCGGUGGCGAAGGCGGCCCACUGGAUCGGUACUGACGCUGAGGUGCGAAAGCGUGGGGAGCAAACAGG